rfam:Picea glauca, whole genome shotgun sequence.
AUGUACAUUCCUACAAUGUUAAUGCACUGGAUCUCAUUAGAAAUUUACAAUUAAGUGUGCUUGGGAUAGAGUAGCACUGGGAUGGGUGACCUCUUGGGAAGUCAUAGUGUUUUACAUG